GGGCGUGGCUUCCAGCGCACGCGAGAAGGGGGCCGGCACCGCCUGCGUGCACACAAUCGGCGGCCGCGCGCAGCACUCUCGGUGACCGGAUGGCGGCUGUGGCGGCUGGAAACGGGGCUUUCCGGGAGGAGGAGGGCACCGGUGGGGACGCAGCGGCUCCGCAGCCCCAUGCCCCGACAAGUGCGCCCGGGGCUCGUCUCUCGAGGCUGCCUCUGGCGCGAGUGAAGGCCUUGGUGAAGGCGGACCCCGACGUGACGCUAGCAGGACAGGAAGCCAUCUUCAUUCUGGCACGAGCCGCGGAACUGUUUGUGGAAACCAUUGCAAAAGAUGCCUACUGUUGUGCUCAACAGGGGAAGAGGAAAACCCUUCAGAGGAGAGAUUUGGAUAAUGCAAUAGAAGCUGUGGAUGAAUUUGCUUUCCUGGAAGAUACAUCAGAAAUACAUCUACACAUGGAACUGCUCCUAUAGAACACCGACUGAACGCUGGCAGAAGACCUCAGACCUUCCAAAAGGCAAGAAACUCCCCACGUACCUGGGAGUGGCUGGAAACUAUAGGACCUGCCAGCAAUUUCAUCUGGAGUGCAGAAAAAGAAAAAGUACACAAGAUGAGAAAACCGAGGCUCAGAAGAUGAGUGGAGUGACUGUCCCAAAGUACAUAGUUGAUGAAUGAUGACCCUACUGUGGAUUAAUUUGGGAGUAAGCUCUUGACCCUGUUGAACAAAUCAUCACCAUAAAUUCUGGAACUGUACCUGAGAAAUAAAUGCCACGUUCUCCUCUGUAAUUGAAGCCAUCAAAUGGAGACCAGAAUUCCAGUUGCAAUCAAGUGAGGUGGUGGAGCGUUUUCCUGUUUGUGUAAGUAGAUGCCAGCACUUAUAUAAGUACUAUGUUUCUUCCCAGAACUUAGCUGGAAAGCAUCCCUACCCCCCGCCCCCAGGAUGUUUGGCACAUGGCCCAAACCAGCUGACAUUUCAAUUGUCCUUCCCCUCUAUUGCUGUGAUCUCAAAUGUUCAUGGAACUGACAUUUCUCCAAACCCUUAAUGGGAACAGUUCAGUGACAAGUGUCAAUAACAUAAUGGGCUUAACCCCACAUUUAUUCCUUCUUUCAUCCAUCCCUACAAAAUGUAUUCAUUAAGCAUCUAUGAAACACCAGGCACUUUGCUAGGGGUAAGGUUCA